UCCCCAGCUUGCUUUUGGGCCAUGUGUUUCAUCACAGCAAUAGAAACCUGACUAAGACUGUGUGGAAAUAGAUGGGCUGGGUGCUGCAUUGCCGUCUCUGUCAACAUUAUGUGGGACUACACAUGACUUCUGUAACCAUAAAAUAAGUUGUUUAAAAAUAAAAGUGCUGGACAAUA